rnacentral:rRNA from 1 species
AUUGAACGCUGGCGGCAUGCUUUACACAUGCAAGUCGAACGGCAGCACGAAAGAGCUUGCUCUUUUGGUGGCGAGUGGCGAACGGGUGAGUAAUGCAUCGGAACGUACCGAGUAAUGGGGGAUAACUAUCCGAAAGGAUAGCUAAUACCGCAUACGCUUUGAGAAGGAAAGUGGGGGCUCUUCGGACCUCACGUUAUUCGAGCGGCCGAUGUCUGAUUAGCUAGUUGGUGGGGUAAAGGCCUACCAAGGCGACGAUCAGUAGCGGGUCUGAGAGGAUGAUCCGCCACACUGGGACUGAGACACGGCCCAGACUCCUACGGGAGGCAGCAGUGGGGAAUUUUGGACAAUGGGCGCAAGCCUGAUCCAGCCAUGCCGCGUGUCUGAAGAAGGCCUUCGGGUUGUAAAGGACUUUUGUUAGGGAGAAAAGGAUAGUGUUAAUACCAUUAUCUGCUGACGUACCUAAAGAAUAAGCACCG